CUCUUACAAGUAAAACAAGCAGUCAAAGAAGAAGAACAUGCCCUGGCAGAAUAUGUAAAGCAAAGUGAAGAACCUGCUUUGAUUAAAGUCAAAAAUCAGAAACUCCUCAAAGCACAGCAGACAAAAAACCAGUACAAGAAAAUCGCACUACAAACUAAAGCUGACAGCUGGCACAACAAAACAUUGCAUGGAAAGUUCCUUGACAAAAUUGAAGGAAAAGCUGAUAAGGAGAAGACCUGGCUCUGGCUCACGAAUGGGACCCUGAAGAAGGAGACAGAAGGCCUGAUCCUUGCAGCCCAGGAGCAAGCCAAAAGAACAAAUGCAAUUCAGGCCAAGAUCAAAAAAUCAGCUGAUGACCCAAAACGCAGACUGUGCAAGGAAACCGACGAAACCAUGGAUCAUAUCUGCAGCUGCUGUAAGAAAAUCGCACAGACAGACUACAAACAGAGGCACAACUAUGUGGCCCAAAUGAUUCAUUGGAACUUAUGCCUCAAGUACCACCUCCCAGCAGCAAAGAACUGGUGGGAUCACAAACCUGGUUUCCUUGCAGAGUCUGCAUUUUGGGUCAUCAGCUGAUUUUUCGAUCUUGGCCUGAAUUGCCUUUGUCCUGAUGGCUUGCUCCUGGGCUGCAAGGAUCAGGCCUUCUGUCUCCUUCUUCAGGGUCCCAUUCGUGAGCCAGAGCCAGGUCUUCUCCUUGUCAGCUUUUCCUUCAAUUUUGUCAAGGAACUUUCCAUGCAAUGUUUUGUUGUGCCAGCUGCCAGCUCUAGUUUGUAGUGCGGUUUUCUUGUACUGUUUUUUGUCUGCUGUGCUUUGAGGAGUUUCUGAUUUUUGACUUCAAUCAAAGCAGGUUCUUCACUUUGCUUUCCAUAUUCUGCCAGGGCAUGUUCUUCUUCUUUGACUGCUUGUUUGACUUAUAAGAGUCCUCUGCCACCAGAUCUUCUAAGCAGAUAUAGCCGGUCAACAUCACUGCGAGGGUGCAGUGAAUGAUGAAUGGUCAUGAGUUUUCUUGUUUUUCUGUCCAAAUUGUCCAGUUCCAUCUGUGUCCAGUUUAUGAUGCCAGCAGUAUAUCUUAUGACAGGUAUGGCCCAGGUGUUUAUGGCCUUGAUGGUGUUGCCUCCAUUGAGUUUGCUUUUGAGAAUUUUUCUGACCCUUUGUGUGUAUUCUUUACUGACCACAGUCUUCACAUGUUCAUGCUUGAUGUUGUCCAGCUGUAACAUGCCCAGAUAUUUAUAGGCCUCUGGCUGGUGACACUUUAUUGUUUGGCCAUUAGGCAUAUUUAUGCCCUCACUUUCAAUGAUUUUUCCCUUCUUCAAUGCCACUGUCGAACAUUUGUCCAAACCAAACUCCAUGCUGAUAUCAGUGCUAAAAAUUCGGACAGUGUUAGUCAUUAUUAUUAUUAUUAUUAUUAUUAUUAUUAUUAUUAUUAUUAUUAUUAUUAUGUUUAAAAUUAUUAUUUAUACCCACCUUUUCUCUCCGCGAGGAGACUCAAAGCAACAAAGGAGACUUCGUUGUCUCCUUUACCCAGUUCCUCAGCUACUUCUCAAUGCUACAUAAAACUGUCUGAACAGCUUGGGAUUUUAAAAAGGAUUUAUUAGUUGUAAUUUUUUUUAGUGUUCCAACCUACACGCAUGACACAUUGCCCACUGCAAUUUUCGAACACAUUUGUUCUCCUUCGCGUUGAAUCUCAGCUGCCUAACAAACCGCAGGGGGACUCUAAAUCAAAGACCCAUCAGAUGACAGAGCCGCUCUUCCUUUGGAAGUUUCCGGUGACAAUUUGUCCUUCGGAUUUCGCUCAAGGUCACUUUGUCCACAUACGUUGCUGCAUAAAUUGAUUUCGGCUCUCACCCUUUGGGUGAUUAGAGCGGUUCAAUUAAUACUAUCUCUGCAGAGACCAAAAUCUGGCUGACAGUGAGUUGGUCUUGAUCUGAGUGUGGAAAAGUGACCUUCUUGAACCUCCCAGAACUAAAAGCCAACUUGAAUAAUGGGAAGGGUAGUCCAAGGAAGUUACUUUUCCAAGUUCUGUGCUUAAUUCAUGCAAAAUUAAAAAAUAAUACAAGUGCAAGGAGAUCAGUGAGCCUGGAUCUCCACUACUAUAUAUGAGGGUUGAAUGAAAAGUAAUGCCUCCACCUUCGUUACUUGGGUUUGGAUGAGAGUAUUUUAAUACAGUAGAGUCUCCCUUAUCCAAGCCUCGUUUAUCCAAGCUUCUGGAUUAUCCAAGCCAUUUUUGUAGUCAGUGUUUUCAAUAUAUCAUGAUAUUUUGGUGCUAAAUUCGUAAAUACAGCAAUUACAACAUAACUGCGUAUUGAACUACUUUUUCUUUCAAAUUUGUGGUAUAACAUGAUGUUUUGGUGCUUAAUUUGUAAAAUCAUAACCUAAUUUGAUGUUUAAUAGGUUUUUCCUUAAUCCCUCCUUAUUAUCCAAGAUAUUCACUUAUCCAAGCUUCUGCCGGCCCGUUUAGCUUGGAUAAGUGAGACUCUACUGUAAAUCAAAUGCAGAAAUAAUCCUUAGAAUGUGCUCUUUAACUACCACUAGCCUCCAGUGGCCUAGGGAAUAAGAGCCUCAUGAUUUGAAGGUUGGCCUGCUGACCUGAAAGCUGCCAGGUUCGAAUCCCACCUGGGGAGAGCGUGGAUGAGCUCCCUCUGUCAGCUCCAGCUCCAUGCGGGAAGCCUCCCACAAGGAUGGUAAAACAUUUAUUUAUUUAUUUAUUACAAUAUUUAUAUCCCGCCCUUCUCACCCAACAGGGGACUCAGGGUGGCUUCAAACAUCAAAACAUCCGGGCGUCCCCUGGGCAACGUCCUUGCAGACGGCCAAUUCUCUCACUCCAGAAGCAACUCCGGUUGCUCCUGACACAGAAAAAAACUACCACUAUUCACUUUUCCACAUAAUCAACAGUCAAUUGGAUCACAUUAAUCUCAACGAUGAACAAGUUUUCUGAAGCCAUCAUGGAAAUAGAUACCAAUAAAAUUACAUUAAUUGAGGCAUCAGUAGGUUAAAUGUUUUUAAAUACAGUAGAGUAUCACUUAUCCAAUGUAAACGGGCCGGCAGAACGUUGGAUAAGCGAAUAUGUUGGAUAAUAAGGAGAGAUUAAGGAAAAGCCUAUUAAACAUCAAAUUAGGUUAUGAUUUUACAAAUUAAAAACCAAAACAUCAUGUUACAUAACAAAUUUGACAGGAAAAGUAAUUCAAUACGCAGUAAUGCUAUGUAGUAAUUACUGUAUUUACGAAUUUAGCACCAAAAUAUCAUGAUGUAUUGAAAACAUUGACUACAAAAAUGCGUUGGAUAAUCCAGAACGUUGGAUAAGUGAGACUCUACUGUAUUUACAUAAAGCUCUAAUUUAAGAUAAGACUGUCCAACUCUGAUUAAAUCAUUAUUCUCAUCUUCUUCAAUGUAAAUGUGCUUAUGUAUCCUUUUAAUAAUAAUAGAGUAAAAUAAUACAUGUAAUAAUAAUAAUAAUAAAUACAAGAAAAUAAUACAUGUAGUAAUAAAUAGAGUAAAAUAAUAAAUAUAAUAAUAAUAAUAAGAUCAGAAUGAAAUAAUAAAUGUAUUAUUAAUAAUAAUAAAAAUAGAGUUAAAUAUAUGUAACAGUAGCAACAAUAAUAGAGAAAAAUAAUAAAUGUAAUAAUACCAAUAAUGAUAGAGAAAAAUAAUAAAUGUACCAUAUAUUCUCGAGUAUAAGCUGACCCAAAUAUAAGCCAACCAGGAACCUCACCCGAGUAUAAGCCGAGGGGUUUUUUUUUCAGUC
ensembl:lncRNA